UACGUAGGGGGCAAGCGUUGUCCGGAUUUAUUGGGCGUAAAGAGCGUGUAGGCGGCCGUACAGGUCAGCUGUGAAACUCGAGGCUCAACCUCGAGACGUCGGUUGAACCGUACGGCUAGAGUCCGGAAGAGGAGAGUGGAAUUCCCGGUGUAGCGGUGAAAUGCGCAGAUAUCGGGAAGAACACCCGUGGCGAAGGCGGCUCUCUGGGACGGUACUGACGCUGAGACGCGAAGCGUGGGAGCGAACAGGACUAGAUACCCAG
rnacentral:rRNA from 1 species